UGAAUCAGUUAACUGGACAGUUCAGUCAUG
rnacentral:piRNA from 1 species